CCGUGUUUAGACGCAUACUACGAGAACUGUUCGUAAAGUCAGUUAUUGAAGACUCAAGUCCAUAACAAUUGAAAUUAUUGCAUUCCAGGCAGAGGUUGGAGCAGUCAAAUGAGAGGACGAUAAAACUACACAUUAACGAUCUACUCAACUUCAACAUUCAAUUUUACAAAGUGUCAGAAUGCGAACGGUUCAAAAGGGCCCUCGGGGAUUUGGAUCCAGAGGAAAGUUCCACCGAUUCAGAGGGGCCGCCGCGGAAUGGAGCUGGAGUUUAAUUAUAUUAGGGGUAUUAUUAUUUUGUAUGCCA